AAAAAAAAAAACACUCUCUUCUCCAUUAGAUAUCACUUUUUUAUGGUCACAGGAAUGACAAUGUGAAUCAUGAAUUUAAAUGAGCAUGUUUGGCCUUGCACACAUCAGUUUGUCUGAGAUUCUAGCAUGUGGCAGGUUCAGAAAUCGGAAUUCUGAACAAUCACCUGAUCGUUCUGAAUUUUACCGAAUUACAGUCAAUUUGCUGUACUGCUGACCUCUCCCAUUCAUUGAGCAUAAACAAUUCAAUAGUAC